rnacentral:rRNA from 1 species
AGUGAACGCUGGCGGUAGGCCUAACACAUGCAAGUCGAACGGCAGCACAGUAAGAGCUUGCUCUUACGGGUGGCGAGUGGCGGACGGGUGAGGAAUACGUCGGAAUCUACUUUUUCGUGGGGGAUGACGUAGGGAAACUUACGCUAAUACCGCAUACGACCUACGGGUGAAAGCAGGGGAUCUUCGGACCUUGCGCGAUUGAAUGAGCCGAUGUCGGAUUAGCUAGUUGGCGGGGUAAAGGCCCACCAAGGCGACGAUCCGUAGCUGGUCUGAGAGGAUGAUCAGCCACACUGGAACUGAGACACGGUCCAGACUCCUACGGGAGGCAGCAGUGGGGAAUAUUGGACGAUGGGCGCAAGCCUGAUCCAGCCAUACCGCGUGGGUGAAGAAGGCCUUCGGGUUGUAAAGCCCUUUUGUUGGGAAAGAAAAGCAGCAGGUUAAUACCCCGCUGUUCUGACGGUACCCAAAGAAUAAGCACCGGCUAACUUCGUG